UACGGAGGGUGCGAGCGUUGUCCGGAAUCACUGGGCGUAAAGGGCGCGUAGGCGGCGCGGGGAGUCAACGGUGAAAGCUCGGCGCUCAACGCCGAGUCGGCCGUCGAUACUCCCGUGCUCGAGCACUGUAGAGGCAGGUGGAAUUCCGGGUGUAGCGGUGGAAUGCGUAGAGAUCCGGAAGAACACCAGUGGCGAAGGCGGCCUGCUGGGCAGUAGCUGACGCUGAGGCGCGACAGCGUGGGGAGCAAACAGG
rnacentral:rRNA from 1 species